rnacentral:misc_RNA from 1 species
AACGCAUAUUGCGCCCUCUGGUAUUCCGGGGGGCAUGCCUGUCCGAGCGUCAUUACUACCUUCAAGCACGGCUUGUGUGUUGAGCAUUUUGUUCCAUUCUCUGUGAACAAGGCUCGAAAUGCAGUGGCGAUGCCUUAAAUUGGUUGCCUGAACGUAUAGGGCUAUGUCACACGUUCUUGUGGCUCCAGUUGUGCAUCUUGUUCCAACUUCUAAAAAAAUAAUCUCGAAUUGACCUCGGAUCAGGUAGGAAUACCCGCUGAACUUAA